AUUACAAUUUUAGUGCAAGAUUUCGUCACAUAAUUUUGUAAAUGGUUUCCUAUCAGGGAUUGAGCUCCUCAUUUUCGUGUUUCUGUAUUCUUUGCUUAUUGGCUAUAACUUACGACUAAUGUAGAUGCUCAAAUCGCACGAUUCUUACGUCUUGCGACAAUGCGAUCGUGCGAUUCGUCUCUUGCAAUCAAUGUAGGUCUUUAAAUCGCUAAAAUCGCUGUUUUUUAGCGCUUUUCAGGCGCUAGUGUGCUACGUGAGCUUAAUCGAGAUUUAAGUUAUGCAUGAGUGUAAAUUUGUCCAUAGCGUAUUCGGAGAAAAAUUCUUUAUGUGAAAUCCAUCUACGCGCUUCUAUUUUCUGAAUGGCAACAUGAUAAAGCACCUUUCUAGAAAAAUGUUUUAGAAUCUCGGAAACCAUUCCAUGAUUCCAGCAUAGGGCCGGAUCUAAAAUCAUAUCAGCGUCUAGCAAUUUUUACGAGUCUUGAGAAAGAGGCUAAUAACAUAAUGUUGUCUGUUACCUUACGAAUUCAAGCCUUCUUUGAAUCCAUAAUUGGACGUUCUCGUUCUUUUGACCACCGUACUCUGGAAUUUGGAAGACAAGCAUCGAAACGGCAUGUGAAGAAGUAAUAGAUGCCAAGAUAGUAGGACGCGAUGAACCUUGGCUCCUUGGUGUCAGCACAUCCUGUGCUUGUUGCUCUGCAACACUGCCGUCAGAUGAGGCUGAUUCGUCGCUGGAGAGAGAAAGAUAGACUAGUCAGUUGACGUUGCCUUACAAAAAACGAGUCGUUCAAGGCACCGGGCCUGGCUUCCUGAGCGAGAUCGCCUGGAACAUAACGACAUCAGCGUCUAUCAAAACCUUCCGAUUGUCGGAGAUCUAAAGUCUUUAUCUCUUGGCCUCUCGUUUCAGCUGCUCCAAGGUCAUCUGGUUUAAUACAUCACGAUCCAUGUUUGUUAUGAACGCCAGAUUCCACGUGACUCCAGGAAAAUGCAAUAAAAGGCAUACUCAAAACGAAGUUAGAGAUUAAACAAAGCACAAAAUGGAACCGGAGCGAGAAUUGGAAUAGGAGCUAAAAACAGAGCAUGAACUGAAAACCGAAUUACGAUCGAAACACAAAAUCGAAAAAGGAAGCGGAGUUAGAAUCACACUUCUGACAAAGGGAGACUACGACGUUGUAUCAAUCGAUUUGGACGAAAUGUAUAGGAUCGAUAGAUGACUAUGUGGAGUAUUGCAGGGUAAAGUAAUAAGACGCACUACUCAAGCAUUCGCGAGAAAAUCGAAUUUGAACAUUUUGAGAUAUUUUAUGAGGAUAUGAAAUAGAUCGUUUAGUCGAAGAGCGUGUAGCGUAGCGGUAGCGUACUAGGUUAGUAGUGUCGACGUAGGUGGUUCAAGUCUCGAUAUACUUUUUUUUCUU